UCCGCAGUAGCUCAGUGGUAGAGCUACUCGGCUGUUAACCGAUCGGUCGUAGGUUCGAGUCUACCUGCGGAGCCA
rnacentral:tRNA from 1 species